AUUAUUUGAAGAAACCAAUUGUAAUGCAAUUCAACACAGUACCACUGAUCAAAUUACUCCUUCCAAAGACAGCAGCUGGGAAUAUUUACUAUGGAAAUAUCUGUCUUUAGAAUGAUUUCUAAAAUCAAAUUGCUGUAAACAUAACCAAGAAUUAUGAAGACUGUGUCUGUCAGGAACACCUCUUGAGUUACCUAAUUUCAUUGUUGGAGGAGGUCACUGAGAGGACAUGGCUGCCAGUUGACUUUUGAGCUGGACCUGGACAGUCAGAGGCUCCUUACCCCCUCCCCUGGAGGCAUGAGAAGCUGCUCCAAAGACACAGCCUUGAGACAGUAAUGUGUUGAGACCAUCGAGAUGGUAUACAUGAUUGAACCCAGUCACAGAGUGAAAUGCUGCCAAGUUUGGUGAAUAUAUAUGCUCAGCCUCUUUUGAGUGACAAGUGUGUAAAUGAGGCCAUCUUGUGAAAAAUAUGUAAACCUCUUAUUUGCAUCUGGACCAUUUGUUAACUGUUUGGAUUACCAAUUCAAGGCAGGGGAGAAGCAGAUCCUGAUACAAGGAUUCAGAUACAAGGUUACCUGGGAGGUGAUCCCAGGAGACACUGGUGUGGAGUGGAGAAUUAGGAUAGGCAAAGGAGGGCAGCUAAUGAAGCCGCAUAGGUGACCAGAGAGCUUCAGGACAGAGAACUUCCUACUUUGGACAACAGAUCUACAACAUUAGCUCAUCUCUGGAAAUAAAGCAAGGCAGGGUUGUUCUGAGAAAACAAUGCGAUGAUGUACCUGAAAGCUCUUGGAGAAGUUUCAAGUGUUAUGUAAAUGAAAGGAACGACGGUCGAGGGGUUGGGACGAAGGUGACUGGUGUGAUUCAGUCUGGUGGGACCGAUAGCCCAAGAGGAUCAGAACAUUGCUCAAGGUUUAAGUUAUUUCAAUAACGACUGACUCUACCUUUGAAUGAUGCUCAGCAAACAGGAAAACAGUGGGUGUCCCAUUUUGCCUUUUGCUUCUCAGUACCUUCAAGGGAUCAUGUCAUCAUUGCAUGACUCUCAAGACCAUGGUUCUUCAGAAACUGUUUUGGGAAAUUGUCUAUGGAAAGAACACUAAAAUCAGUAUCGAAAGGUGUAUGUUACAGUUAUGACUUCACAGUUUACUCGACUGACUUUCCAGAAGAUUUGAACAAUUUCAAGGCUAAUGAAGAAGAGAAAACCCAUUCUGCCAUUUGAACUCUGCAAACAGCACCUCAGGAAAGGCUUGAUUGUCACCUUGUUCUCUCCCUGGGAGGCAGGGAUGGAGAACCUGGCUGAGAUGUAAUGCUCAGCCUCUGCAGUCACGUCUGUCCCACAACAUACCAGAGAAACUGUGCUAGUGGGAGCGACGGUCUGGCCCUGCCCGUCUGCAGGGGGGCAGCAUCGGGUUAACUUCUUAAAAUCCCUGGUGUUGGAAAUGGACCUGCAGGAACUUCAUAAAGAUAGGUAUAAUCUAGGGCAGAAACACUAAGAGGAGUUCAAAUUAAAGAAAUGACAUGAAAUUACAUUUCUUAAGGAGGGAAAUAACAUUCAGGAACAUUAAAUGAUUUAAUUAUGCUUGACAGAGCUUUUGGAGCUAAAAAUGCAGCAGAAGCAAAGUGUGUUGAGAUAUAAAGUUUGAGAGAGCAGCCGUAAGAAAAAUCUUGAAAGCAGAGUAUGUAAUCAUCCAUAGCCGCAUGGAGGGCAAAGAAGACCCUCCAUUAACAUUCAUUUUGCUUUUUCUAGGACAAGGACUCGGAAGAACAGAGCAAUAUUUUUUGUGUAGUUUUGAGGCUUAAUUAUCUCUGGUGGAGAUACUGUUAAGUCUUAAGAUUCUCCAACUUACUAGUUCUCAAAUAUGUUGAUGUACAUUUAACAUAUAGCAUGAAAAGCAGCCAGUAGUUCUUCUGGCUUCCCUGGACACACAUAUAAAACAUGACCACCGUCAGAACCAACUGAUUGUUGCUAUGAGAGCAAACACUCGCUGUUAUUAAUACUUGGAAACUUUUACGUGUAGGUAUAAUACAGCUUAUUUGUGUGUUCAGAUUGUUAUGAAUACAUAUGCGGGGACACUCCAUACAUGCCAGUAUUUACUAUAUAGUCUCACUGUGUUUGGAAAAGGGUCAUGGGCAUAUUGCCCCCCAAAUGUUUCUCUAGCAAUGGACCAGCAUCCUGAAUGGAAUCUAUGAUUUAAAUAGAUUCUUGAGGCACCUCUGCCUCCUCCGGUUCCAGUUCUAAACUUUAAACAGAAUGCAAAAUGGUCCGAGUGGAACGGGAUGCAAAGUCCCCCUGACUGAACAGUUCCUGGUAUGGUGCAAAUUUUCUUUUAUGGUGCCAAUUAGUGUCUGACUUGUCUUUUUGCCAUGUGACGAAUUAAAAAUGCAUGAUUUGGAUGCCGGAAAGCUAACCAGCUUCUGGAUAGAAUCCCCUGGACACUGCCAUUCUUCCAGUUGAUCCUUUUGCCCUCCCUGUGUUGGCAAGUACCGCCUCGUUCGCCCACUGCUUACAUCUUUCCCUAACAGAUGGUUCUUUUUACUAGUCAAGAUCCAAUCUGGUGAUUUACUUUAAUAUGCCUUGGCCUAAAGAAUACCCAUGACAGACAGCUAGCACAGCCUCCCGAAGCAAAAUUUUGCAAAGAAAAAAGUUAAGUAGACACAUGCUAUCUAGACUGCAUUCCAUUUUAUGCACCCCAUAAAUCAGAAUAUUUGUCAACAACAAUUAAAAUGUAGUUUCCCUGGUAAUAAACAUUACAGGGAGGAACAAAUCAAGUUUCAUUUAUUCUGUCAGAAACCGAAGGCGAGCGCUUCAUAUUAUUUUGUGGAUAAUCUCUGAGGAGUAAACUAAGCACAAUUACAUUCUUGAUUUUAAUUAAAACUCUGGGUACCUUUCAAGUUCCGUUAGGGAGAUGUCCUGGGUCUGCUUAGCUGAGGUCUGCACUGCAAAGUUAAUUUGACAUACAACAUAUUUUUCAUGAGGUAACUGUCGCAGGAAGCUGUUUGUAAGAGCAGCCUCUCCAGUGCCUGUGGGCCCCACAAAAAGUAAUGACUUCUCCUGAAGCAGCAACUUCGCCAGGAAGUACAUCUGCAUAACAGUCCCCGAAGCCCUCCCAAUAAUGUCAUUAAGCUGGAAAAAAAUCAAAGGAAAAGGCGCCCAAAAGAUGCUGUUAAACAUGUUUCAUUACUUACUGUACACAGAACAACAAUAGAACCGAGUCAUGGAAUCAUUUCAAAUCACGGUAAAAGGGGAAGCAUCCCCCAAUCCCUGGAACGGUGGCAGAGGCAGAGGCCAUGGGGUGUGAGUUGGCCCUGAGACCCCGGGAGGGCCACCGUGGAAGGCCCGCGUUCCCGCCGCUGUCUGUGAGGACCCUGUUCUUCAGGACUGGGCCUGACUCUCCACCCUCAGCCAUUAGUUUUUGUGGCUUCUGAUCUGCUGAUUUUCUACUUGGCCCCUGUUUUCCACUUAUUUCUACAAGGUAGUGAGCAGAACUGCAAUGAGGGUGCUGCCUAGCACGAGCUAUGCUGUGAGGGGCAGGUGGGGGGGUUGGCCUGUCAAGGGGAGAGGCCUCACACAUGGCCCCUUUUCCCGCUCUUCACUGUCAUCCACCACCUCACCCAUCCUACCCAGGAUUUCCCUCCACUGGAGUCUGAAAAGUAGAUGCUCCUCCAGGGCGUGACUUAAAAUCAUGGCAGAUCUGAGUUACUAUCGGCCUUUGGAGACCGUCUUCUCCAGCUGGUCUGUUAAUUCACAGAUGGUGAGGCUCAAGCAGGAAAAGAGAAAUAGCAGCUUUUGUUGGUCUCUCCAGCCACACAUAUUCAUUGCCACCUUUGACUCCGAAGGGGCACUGGAUUUAUACUUUCAUGUGGAGCUUUUCAAUUCCAAGCAGUGAUUGCUGUUGUAGUGAUCUUUAUCACAUUACAUAAUCAUAUUAUUAUCUAGAUUUAUGAUACUGUGCAUUAGAUCCGUAUGACUCAUUACAUGUCUAUGCCUUUCAACACCAUCAGUCGUAUCCCCCCACCUCCAUCCACUGGUGACUACCGCUUUGCUUUCUUUUUUUUACAGCUUUGAAUUUUUUAGAUUCUGCAUAUAAAUGAUAUCAUAUUUGCCUUUCUCUGUCUCACUUCUCUCACUUAGCAAAAUGUGCUCCAAGUCCAUCCAUAGUGCCCCAAAUGGCAGGAUAUCUUCCUUUCUCGUGGCUGAAUAACAUUCCACAUAAUGAUAUUUGUUACUAUUAAUAACUCAAAAGCCUGACGAUGAAGGAUGUGUGAAUAGGUGUCCUGUGUCCACCAUUUAGUAUACAUUCCUGAUUUCUGGUCUUAAGUUCUUGACAUGAACCAUCUUUAACACUCAUACUAAUCUUCUAAAGAAGUAAGUAUUAUAAACCCUACUUUUCAGAUUAGCAAACAGAAAUGCAGGGAGUUUUAAGCAAGUUGCCAGAAGUAACACAACUGCUAAAUGCUGGCCAAAGCAGCGCUCCAGCCGGGGGCAUGCCAAGGUCAGCGUUGCGUGCUGAACUGUAUCGUGGAGGGGAGUAAGAUGCUUGGUUUGGACGGUUAAAGCUUAGAGAGGAAUGGGAAAAUGGCAGGCUAGUACUGGGCUUUCAACUGGAAGGACAGGACCCUAUGUUAUAACAGAUGGGUAAGAGGUCCCCCCCCGCCCUUUCAGGGAGACCCAUUUUCCUUCAGCUUCUUAUUGCUCUUAACUUAUUCUCAAUACAGUCUUAGCACUGGGUCCCAGAGAAUAGGAGCUCAACAAUCAUCUGCUGAAUAAAGAAAAGAAAUGACCACAGACGGGCGAUGCAGUGCUUAUUCCCUCAUUACUAACCUCACCUCUUACUGCCAACAUUCCAAUGAGGACUUUUUUAGCCACAAAUGUAUCUUCCCUUCCUAACUUCCCCAAGUUUCUGAAGGCUUGUUUAUAUCACUGUCUUUCCAGGACUUAUUUUGAAACUGUGGACUUCUUUCGCAAAUAUAGAAAUCCUCAGUAAAGUUGGCAUUUAUCCUCUGAGUUGGUGUUGAGCAGGGAAGGGAAAUAAAUAAACACAAAAACCAAAGCCCACUUAGACCAGCCACCUACAGUAAUUGCUAUACUUUAUGUAUUUCCCUGAUUAACUUCUUUUCACGAGAUUUUGAUCAUCAAGAGAACAUAGGGCCUGAUAUCAAGAUGGGUAGGAAGAAAAGAGAGAAAAAAAAUUAAUCUUAAAUGUUACCAACCACACACACACACACACACACACACACAAGGGCAAUUAUGUGAGGGGAUGGAGAUGUUAACAAACUUUAUUGUGGUAAUCAUUUUGCAAUAAACUCGCGUAUAAAAUCUUUAUGUUGUACACCUUAAACUUACAUAUGUUAUGUGACAAUAGCAUCUCAAUAAAGCUGGGGGAAAAAAGUACCAUAAUGAAUACACACUGCUACCUUUUGAUGGAUAGUUAAGCUAUUUCUUAGUACCUGUGUGUUUGUUUUGAUUAUGAUCGGAAAGUAGCAAAGAGCAUCCUGUACACAUAGCUUUGCAAAUCUGUAUGAGUUAAUUUAUGAAAUAAAUUCAUACAAGUAAAAAACCAAAAACCAAAAAACCCAAACCAAAAAUUGGGUAGGUGAUACCCCAGGUAGUAUUUACACACAAGAAUUUCCUUUGACUUGCUGUAUUCUGCAAAUUUACCAAACCUUAGUAGCAGAAGCUGCAUGUGGCCAAUGGAAAGAAUCCCGGCUAAGCUGAGAUUCUGGAAUAUUCAGCAACUACUGGCACUGUUGCAAAGUCCUUUAUUUCUUUUGGGGGGCCCUCCUUUGGAUUUACUAACUCUAGGACAUCAAAUGGCUUGAAAGAGUUAAUGCAAUUCUUUGUCAAUCUCUCUUACUGAGGCUCAGCUUUCUCAUUUGUAAAAAGGGCUAUUAUGGUCUGAGUGUUUGUGUUCCUUCCAAAUUCAUGUGUUGAAAUCCUAAUGGCCAAUAUGAUGGUAUUAUGAGGUGGAGCCUCUCGGAAGUGCUUAGUUCUUGAGGCUGGGGCUUUAUGGAUGGGAUUAGGGUAGAGCUCCUAGCCACAUUGGCCACGUGAGGCUACAGAGAAAAGAUAGCCCUCACCUGA